UCUUCUUAAAAGUAAAAUUCUUUCAGAUAAACAAAAGAUGAGUUUAAAAGAUUUUUUUUAUUGAAGUUUUCUGUUCGUCCAAAUAUUCUAGCAUGAAUAAAUGAAUCGUAAAUUCUCAGAUUUAAACUUGUAGAAAACCGACGUUAUUCCAAUGGACUUGAUGCAUCCAAGACACGUUCGUAGAAAUCAGAAACUCGAAACUGUUCAAAUUUCUAGAAUGCGGAGUUCACAGUUUUAUGAAACAAAAUUUCGCCUGUCGAAUACAAUUUUCCGGCCGAUCAUAACUGAAGCUAUCCCGUAGGACUUUCCAGAGUUUGAA